GCAAAGAGGAGGUAAAUGGGCUUCAUGAAAAUCCGCAGAUUUGAGCUUCAGCCAUGACUUCAUCAUAAGGUAAAUUGCUACUUUGUGUGAAAGAAGAAUUGCUGUUUUGCACCUCUUCAUUACUGUCUAAGCCAAAAAUUUUCAUC